AUACUACUCCCUCCCGUCCUAAAAUAAGUGACUCAAAAAUGACUCAACUUUGUACUAAUGUUAGUACAAAGUUGAGUAAGUUUUGAGUCACUUAUUUUGGGACGGAGGGAGUAGUAU
rfam:Triticum aestivum genome assembly, contig: Triticum_aestivum_CS42_TGACv1_scaffold_404447_5BL